rnacentral:rRNA from 1 species
AGAGUUUGAUCCUGGCUCAGGACGAACGCUGGCGGCGUGCCUAAUACAUGCAAGUCGAGCGAAUCUUUGGGAGUUUGCUCUUUUAAGAUUAGCGGCGGACGGGUGAGUAACACGUGGGCAACCUGCCUGUAAGACGGGGAUAACUCCGGGAAACCGGGGCUAAUACCGGAUGAUUCUUCUCUGCACAUGCAGGGAAGCUAAAAGAUGGUUUACGCUAUCGCUUACAGAUGGGCCCGCGGCGCAUUAGCUAGUUGGUGAGGUAACGGCUCACCAAGGCGACGAUGCGUAGCCGACCUGAGAGGGUGAUCGGCCACACUGGGACUGAGACACGGCCCAGACUCCUACGGGAGGCAGCAGUAGGGAAUCUUCCACAAUGGACGAAAGUCUGAUGGAGCAACGCCGCGUGAGCGAUGAAGGCCUUCGGGUCGUAAAGCUCUGUUGUUAGGGAAGAACAAGUACCGGAGUAACUGCCGGUACCUUGACGGUACCUAACCAGAAAGCCACGGCUAACUACGUGCCAGCAGCCGCGGUAAUACGUAGGUGGCAAGCGUUGUCCGGAAUUAUUGGGCGUAAAGCGCGCGCAGGCGGUCCUUUAAGUCUGAUGUGAAAGCCCCCGGCUCAACCGGGGAGGGUCAUUGGAAACUGGAGGA